rnacentral:rRNA from 1 species
ACGCGUGGAACCUUACCAACCUGCAUCAUCGCAGGACAGCCGGAGAGAUUCGGUCUUCUCGUAAGAGACCUGUGGACAGGUGCUGCAUGGCUGUCGUCAGCUCGUGUCGUGAGAUGUUCGGUUAAGUCCGGCAACGAGCGCAACCCACGUCUUUAGUUGCCAGCAUUCAGUUGGGCACUCUAAAGAAACUGCCGAUGAUAAGUCGGAGGAAGGUGUGGAUGACGUCAAGUCCUCAUGGCCCUUACGGUUG